AUGGCCUCGAGCUCCCUCCCGCUCCUCGCCCUCCUGGCCCUGCUGGCCCUGCCAGGGCUCCGGGCGGCCGUGACCCUGCUGGAGUCCGGGGGGGACCUCCAGCCCCCCGGGGGGUCCCUGACUCUGCUCUGCCGCGCCUCUGGGUUCAGUUUCGGUGAUUAUCGAAUGUUCUGGAUCCGCCAGAGCCCCGGGAAGGGUCUGGAAUUUGUCGCCAGCAUCACUGAUUUUGGCAGGAUAGGUGAACACACCACAUACGCGCCGUCGAUGCAGGGCUGGGCCUCGAUCUCCAGGGACAACGGGCAGAGCUCGGUGACGCUGACCAUGAACAACCUCAAGGACGAGGAUUCUGGAGUUUAUUUCUGUGCCAGAUGUUUCGGCAGUGUUCGUUAUGGUGGGGAUGGCGGUGCUGGUAUCGGUGCUGGUUACGAUGCUGGAAACGCCUUCCCGGGUCUCUGGCACACCCAGUUCAUGGCGUAA